CAGGUAGGUGGCUUUGUAAGUUGAAGGUUAAAUCCUCUGACUCAAUCAGAGAACCGCCUUCAAAAACUGCAUUGCUUGAGGAUUGGAGAGGAGAGCGGAAUUCCCGGUGUAAGGGUGAAAUCUGUAGAUAUCGGGAGGAACACCCGUGGCGAAAGCGGCUCUCUGGCCAAUCCCUGACGCUGAGCUGCGAAAGCUAGGGGAGCAAACAGGAUUAGAUACCCUGGUAGUCCUAGCCGUAAACGAUGAGUACUAGGUGGUUGGGGGUAAGCCUUCAGCGCCGUGAGGUAACCUGUUAAGUACUCCACCCGAAGACUACGACCGCAAGGUUAAA
rnacentral:rRNA from 1 species